UACGGAGGGUGCAAGCGUUAUCCGGAUUUACUGGGUUUAAAGGGUGCGUAGGUGGGUCUGUAAGUCAGUGGUGAAAUCUUCGAGCUUAACUCGGAAACUGCCAUUGAUACUAUAGGUCUUGAAUUAUCUGGAGGUAAGCGGAAUAUGUCAUGUAGCGGUGAAAUGCUUAGAUAUGACAUAGAACACCAAUUGCGAAGGCAGCUUACUACAGGGACAUUGACACUGAGGCACGAAAGCGUGGGGGAGUCAAACAGG
rnacentral:rRNA from 1 species